AUGCUAUUUAUUUUUAUCUUUAAACUUUCAAGCCUUAGAUCAAUGGGAGCAGAAGGCUGUGAUAUUUUAUCACAAAUGCAGUGUUACAGUGAACUCAGCUUUUACUUCAUUUAUCUUCCUGAGAGGCUAGUGCACUGGCACAAAGGACAUCAAUGCACAUCAGCAGUGACUUGAGUUUACCACGAAAGAACUGGGAGAACAACAUUAGAAGACAUGGGCCCAACUGAGUCUCCUCUGCCCCUGCCCGGUGAGCACUAGAUUUCCCAGAGAGAAGGCAUUACUUUAGAAUUGCUAAGGGUAUCAGGUAACAAAGAAAAAUAAAGCCACAGUUAACAAAGAAUAAAGCA
rnacentral:lncRNA from 1 species